ACGGGGGUUCAGAGAGAUCGAGCACCUGCCUGCGGUCACAGGGCCAGGCAGGAUUCGAACCCAGGCCUGUCUGAUGCCCAGACCGGGCUCCUUCUGCCAGCUCGUGCUGCCCCAUCAAUCCGGGAAGAAACUAGGGCAGGAAGUGGUUGGGUUCUAGGGAGAAUCUGUUGGUUCCGGGCUGCUGCGGCGUGUGGUCCUGUUGUCGGAGGCCCUGGCCUGAGACUUUAGCCUGGGUCUCGGCCACAGGGCCUGCGGCUUCCUUGUGUCACUCUGUCCACAGCUAUCCACCCCCGGCCUGGCGUCUCUCUGCGCUGUGUCUCGGUGGGCUUCCCCCGGCAGUGUUUCUGGGGGCAGCAGGGGGUGUCUCUCCUGCCUGGGGGAGCAGGCCCCUCCCUGUGGUCUGUCGCUGUUUCCCAUCGCUGCAGCCAACUGUCACGGACCCUCUGGGCUCGAGCGUUCCAUCUGCUCAGAGAGGGCCCGGCCGGCCAGGCCCGGCAUGUUCCAUCUCUGCGGGCAGCGGCCUCUGCCAGCCUCCGCGGGUGCCUCCCGCACCCGGCCCCCGCCGCCUCGCAUCGCCCUCCAUCCCGCCUCUGGCUCCUGUUCUCCCGUGGUCUGGAAAGCCACCGCCUUGGACAUGGGGCGGGGCCGCCCCGCCCGGUCCGCCUCUGGCCACGCUCUUGUCGCCCUGAGGCCCACGGGGGCGCCCAAGGCCCACGUUCUCACACUGGAGGGGAGGCUCUUUGAAACAGACCUUCGGGCCAGGCUCUCUGUUCUCCUGUGAACUCCGUCCGUCCGGGGAGGGAGUCGCUGUUUGGGGACCGAGGCUGGCAGAGCCGCCACUCUCUGAGCUGCUGCUUCCCUGGCGAGCCAAGCCGCAGACCGGUUUGCUCCUUCCUCCCUCCUCCUUGCCGUCCUCUCUCCCUUUCCUGCUGCUUCUUUCUUUCAUUAAAAACUUUCUCCGAGAGCCUACUAUGCGCCAGGCACCACCUUAGCUAUUAAACUCCAGCGCAUGGCCACCCCUUGCACUCCCCGAGUGCCGCUGUGUGCCAGGCGGAGGGCACAGAGGCAGGCCUGACGCCGUCCCUGUCUCCAGGCCCCACUCGCGGUUGAGGACAGAAAGCCUGGACAGCAGAGAGUAAGAAAGUGCACAGAUCUUUGCGCACCUCUGACCUGGCGCAGGUGGCGAACGCCUGAGGGUGGCGCUCCUGGGCUUUCCAGCCCGAGGGGGACAGGUGAGCACUGCCACCCCUCUCCUGGCUUCUGUCACCCCUCAUCCUGUCAGAACGGGCCACACCUCGGAUGCCAAGACAACAGCAACAGUGCCCUGCCACAGCCUGCCCCAGGAAUCUAGCCUCCUCUGCGGGGAGGUGUGCCUGUCACAGAGCAACCGGGAGAGGGGAACUCCGUUUCAGAGAUGCGAGGUGGGAGGAAGGGGGCGAGGGGACUCAGGAGUGCCGCGGGCAGGGCCUCCCCACGCUGGGGGCUUCAUCUGCCCUGGGAGGGGCAGCAGCUGAGUGGGUGGCCCAGAGGGACGCCGGGCGAGCUGCGAUGGCCAGAUCCCUUGGGUCCCGCGGCACUGCUGAGCAGCUACCACGUGCCAGUCACCAUGCUAGGGGCUGGAGGCCCGUGCUACUCGCUGCCGGGGACUGGGACACAUGGGACCCCACACAGCCGCUUGCUGGCUCCAUGACAGGGACAAUCCCCUUCCCUCUCUGGGCCUCAUGUUCUUCCAUGACAACAUGACGGUUUGGACCAGAUGAGCCCUGUAACAUCUCCGCUAGUCGCCUUCUCUUUUUCCUUUUCCUGUAGGACAGAACCUCUUCUUUUUCCCCAGGCAUGUGGUCACCUGGAAUAAAGGCUAUCUUUUCCAGACUUCCUUAUAGCUAAUGUAUGGUCAUGUAACACAUUUCUGACCAUGAGACUAAAGCAAAAUUAUUGUGAGAUAUUUUCCAGGAAAUCUCCUUAGGAGCCAGGUGAAGGUUCCUUUUGUCCUGUCUUUUUGUGCCGUCCUUCACCAUGCUAUGUGGAAUGUGAAGGCAGUGGCUGGAGCUCUGGCGGCCCUGCUGGACUGUGAGGUUGAAGGGCACCCUGGAGGGACGGUGGAGCAGGGAGCUGGCAGGAGCCUGCGUUGCUAACCAGUUUGUGGAGCUUCCAGACCAGCCUUGUAUUUCAUGCCUCCAGAUUCAUUUACUUGAAAAAGAAUAAGCUUUUUGUCUUAUUGAAGCCACUGUUAAGUUUAUUUUUUUGUUAUUUGCAGUCAGAUCUAAUCCUUUCUGAGACAAACUCUAAAAUCCCUUCCAGGUGUUCCAUUCUGAAGUUGUGACAUUAGGAGAAUUCUUUAGGCACACACUCCCCGAGGUAGGCAGAAUAAUGACCUCCCAUAAGGUGUCCAGGUCCCAGUUCCUGUACCCUGUGACUGUGGUACACUGUCUGGCAAAGGGGAUUAAGGCUGCAGGUGGAAUUAAGCCUGCUAAUCAGCUGACCCUGAGACAGGGAGAUUAUCCUGGAUUCUGUGGGUGGGCCCAAGUCAUCACAGGUGCUCAGGUGUGGAGGAGGGGGCAGGAGAGCUUGACAAGGACUCUGUCCAACGUUGCUGGCUUUGAAGAUGAAGGGAGUGACCACAGGCCAAGGAAUGUGGCAGCCUGUAUCAGCUAGGACAGGCAAGCAGGUUCUCCCAGGAGCCUCCAGAAGGAACCAGCCCUGCUGACACCUUAGCCCAGAGAGACCUAUUCCAGACUUCUGACCUCCAGAACAGAACUGUCAGAUAAUAGAUGCCUGGCUUCCGUCCCUCUGCUUCUGUGAGCUGCUCUGCCCUGUCUGCGCUGGUGUCUUUUUAGUUAUGUUCCCAGCUGUCAAAAGACAAAGGCUCCGCCUGUAAUUCGCCAUAGGCCUAGAGGAGGAUUUGCAAACUUAGAUGCCUACAGAGGCCGGGCAAAGGCCACUAAAGGAGCGAAGCAGCCACGUGAGCCACGAUGGCACCCGGCACGUGGCAGCGAUUAGUAAAUCUCGUUGAAGAAACGGAUGGCGGAACUCACGGUCCAGAGGUGGAGACAGCAAUGGAAACAGGCCACGUGGCAGACAGCAGGAAAGAGGCUUGGAGAGGUUAAAUAACUUGCCCCAAAUAACACACAAGGCUGCGGUGCAGGAAGCGAACUGAGUCUGGGUGGCUGCAAAAUUCUUUCGAUGACACCACAAAGCUACAUCUGAAAACUUAACAAGUUACAGGCGAUGUCCAUUUGCUAUUUUCUGAAAAUGCUUGAAAUCGUAAAGCAAUGGGCCAUUUACAUCGAGGACACUUCCAAGAUGAAAGGACAAAAAUAAAGAGAUGCGUGAACAAGAGAGCCGCGGCUGAACCAAGCAUGGAGCACUCCACCACCACCUCGCCGGCGAGCCAGGGCUAUGCAGUUAUGAACUUGGGAAAGACAAUGUGGGACCACUGAGACACUUCUUGCUCGAAGAUGUAGACUGGCUGGCAGGGCCAGCAGCCUGGGGAGGGGACGGCCGGAGAAGCCACUGAUGGAAGAGGAGCUCAAACAUUCAGCAAAGGGAAUGUGAGCCUGAUCACAGAGAGAGAGAGAAUUCUGCUCUGCCUCCCAGUAAGGCAACAGGGGCGAGAGAGGCAGAGAAAGACGGAGCGUGGCGGGUUUGUUUCAGCCACCGACCACACUGUACCAGCUGCUGGCUCCUCCUCUGCAGGGCUGGAAAUCCUUUGGGGGAGCCGGGACAGAGGGGAGGAAGAAGCAGGAGAGAAUAAACAUGGAGAAUGAAUUUCUUGCUGUCCCUGGAGACAAUGUUUCCUUUAGGUGACAACAGAGGUU